AUACAACAGCCCAUUCUAUGUCAUGGACCCUUUAUUUCCUGGGAAGAUUCCACGAAAUCCAAGAAGAACUGUAUCUAGAAUUGCAAGAAAUUUUCAAAAAUGAUAGGAACAGGAAUAUUACUAUCUAUGACACAACGAAAAUGACGGACUUAGAAUGCGUAAUUAAGGAGUCGAUGAGAAUCUAUCCACCUGCUCCUUUUAUUGCAUGAAAAAAUCCUUCAGAAAUGAAAAUAAGUAAUUACAUGUUGCCUGCAAAUUCGACUCUUGUCAUAAAUAUCUAUGGCAUCCAUCAUAAUCCUUCUGUUUACGAAAAUCCCGAGGUGUUCGAUCCAGACCGUUUUUUACCUGUAAACUAUAAAAAUCUUCAUCCUUAUGCAUUUCUGCCAUUUUCUGCCGGUCCACG